ensembl:miRNA Mir3568 microRNA 3568
UGCACCAAACACCAGUGGGCUUGUUCUUCCCGUGCAGAAGCAGCAGAGAUAUCAGGCUGGUUGGGCCCUGGAAGAACUAGCCACUUGGUGUGACUGGGCAG